UGCCAGCCGCCGCGGUAAUACGGAGGGAGCGAGCGUUGUUCGGAAUAUACUGGGCGUAAAGGGCGCGCAGGCGGUUUGCCAAGCCAGAAGUAAAAUCUCCGGGCUCAACCCGGAAAUGGCUUUUGGAACUGGCAGACUAGAGACCGGUAGAGGAUAGUGGAAUUCCCCGUGUAGAGGUGAAAUUCGUAGAUAUGGGGAGGAACACCAGAGGCGAAGGCGGCUAUCUGGACCGGUACUGACGCUGAGGCGCGAAAGCUAGGGUAGCGAACGGGAUUAGAUA
rnacentral:rRNA from 1 species